GGGGAAUUAGCUUAAUAGGUAGAGCAUCUGUUUUGCAUACAGAAGGUUAACGGUUCAAUUCCGUUAUUCUCCA
rnacentral:tRNA from 1 species